rnacentral:precursor_RNA from 9 species
ACAUUUGCUUAUGUGUUCCAGCAUUCACAUGUAGCUAUCAAAUAUGUGUGCAUAUAUUUGAUUGCACACAUACUUAGUAGCUAGAUGGGGGUACUGCCUAUAUCUCCAUGGUAGCC